rnacentral:lncRNA from 1 species
GUAUAUAUAUAUAUGUAGUAUAAAGGGCAGAAAUAAUGCAGUCUGUUCAGAUAGGUUAUUCUUCACAUUAGCACCCAACUUCACUAUCAAACCAGAAAAUUGAAAUAAUUUGAUACUUUUGCAUCUCAAGCUUCUCAACUUUACCUUAAAAAGCUCCACCGGAGUAAACCAUGAUAUAUCGCUCUGCUUGUAGAUAGCAUUCACAUGCUUCGUGUAAGCUUUCCGGCCUAUAAAUUUGCACUUUGAACAGUUAAAGCACAUACAUAAUAACAACUCUAAAGCAUCCAAGUAAGAGCAGUUGUAAGACCUAAUGCUUCAAGCUCCAUCUAAUAGUUCCCAAGGCCCACAAUGUGAUUUAUGUCAUAGUAAAGAAUUCUACUUCCCCGACCUAUGAGAGAAAGGUGACUACUAAGUAGCAACCCUCAGCUCCAGAAGGAAGCAGGUCGACAUGUGAAUUUAUUAAAUGCUUCUCAAUUCAUAGACACUACUUAUAACCUAAAGGGGGCAUUUAAUUUUGAGGAUUAGCCUUUAUAGAUAAAAAUAGUAAGGCUAAUUCCCUUGUUUACUUAGAUGGAUUGAAACUUUGGGAUAUCCCAAGGCCCUUGACUAUUUCUAUUAUUUAAACUAAUUUUGCUUGAUUCAUAUCCCAUUGAAAGGGUGAGAUUGGAGAAAUCCUACUCUUGAGGAUAAAAAUACUCAAAUCAUAAAAAGUAAACGCCCCUGAAAGGUACUUAUGAAUUGUAAGCAAAUCAGAGGAGAUUGUUUAACAUUGCACUGAAAUGGAAAUCGUUUAUCAAGCCACUCAGCUGACAAUCUUGGUAAUCAUGAGCUUCUAAAUGUUCAUUUACUUUGAAAACAACAUGCACCCCUUUUUCACAUCAGUAAAUUAUUCUUGACAAAAUCAUCUUCAGAAAAGCUAAAUUAAGCUGGCAGAUAAAAUCACAAACACUCUACCAAUUCAUAAUACAAUCAUAACCUUCCUUAGCAACACACUAAACUAAGAAAUGCAAGAAGUGAUAACAGGAACUCUAUCUUAAAGAAACAAAUCUAGUAAACAAUAAUUAUCCACAAACAUGUCAGCUAACCGUCGAGCUGAUUGAACUUAAUGCUUCGAUCAAGCACUCCAACUGAGCCCGAUCUUUGAGAAAAAUACCCAUGUUCCGGAUCAUACAAAGCCGCAUGAAUAAAAUCCCUAACCUUCAAAUAUUUAAAAAAAAUGUUGAACAAAAUGAGAAAGACUAAAAUUCCAAAAGCAACAUCAAUCAAAACCAAUUCUUUAAUAGACGGAACCACGGACAAAGAGGAGGCGGAGCGAGAGAUUACAAGAAUUGGGGAUUCACCAACAAAGUUUGUGGAGAAGUAGGCCGGGGAAAAUGGGUUCACUGCAAAAGGAAGAUCGUUGAGUGAAAUCACACAAAAUUAAUUUGCACCUGACACCACACACACACACACACAACAUAGAAGACCUUUAGAAGAGAAAAGGAAGGAGGAGAGGGGUUUGGAGGCGGCAAUGCGAGCGGCCAUUUCUGCACUCUUUUCAACGAUUAAUUUGUUAUCAUCCCCUGUUUUAGCUUGUUCGUCUACACUCAACACUUCAUUUUCUGUGUUUCUCUCAGCGGGGUUUUGUCGAGAGAGAAACCAUUGAAGAAACGCGACUUCCUGAGGUUUAUCUGUAGUUGUCCUCACGACUUCAUGAAUUUAAGAAUAAUAAUUUAGUACUUAAAUUAUUAAUUUCUCAACAAAAAUAUCUCGAAUUAUGCAAAGUAUUGAACAUUCUUGACCUAUUGUCUAUUGAGUAAGCAAAUUUGAACAUAUGUUCCUUUCGUUUAACUUAACUUAAUUUUUGUUUUUUUAACACGAUUAUUUGAAAGUAUUAAAUUAUAGUAGUAUAAAAUUGGAGUAUGAGUUAAUACAAAAUAAUUACUUACAAAAAUAGGCCAAAUAAUGGGACAUGGUUUUGGGCCUUUGUGGGUAAAAAUGAUAGUAUAUCAUCAUUAUUUUUUUACUAUUUUGUUAAAACAGAAUCUUGAAUAUAUGUGUGUUAUCAUGUCAUCUGUGCUUGAGAUUGAGACAAACAAAGUGGAUUUCAGUAAAAGCCAUGAUUACAUUUCCACUUGAGAAAGAAAAAAGGAAAAGGAAAGAAGAGAAUAUCAGAUAUCCUAAUUCGAAAACCAUUAUUCCAUAGACGAAUUCCACAUUUCUACUUUACUUUUCUUCUACCCAAUUCCAUUCUUUAACCUUCUUUUCUGCUUAAAUAUAAAAUAUCUGCUUCUGCAUUUGCUCUCUGUGAUCUUAGGUCUCAAAGCCAUGAGAUAUCCACAAGGACAAGGUAAAAGUCUCUGCAUUUUUUUUAAAGUGUGGUUUUUAUCUUUUCAUCAUAUUCAAAGUUGAGUGAUAUAUCUGUUAUUUGAAGAUUAAUGAUGCAAGGAUAUUGUGCUUUUUUCUGGUGAAAUUCUUUUGUGUGAACGGUGUGAGGUUAUGGUAAUAUUUGAAUAGCCAAAAAGUGUACAUUUUUAUAGAUUAGCAAAUAAUUAAUGUCUGUUGUUCUCAUUUUAACUCAUUUGCUAAUCACAUGUAGAAUUGGUUGAAAAUUGAUCAUAGUCUAUCUGUGAAGAAAUGACUGUUUAUGUAGCAAAGAUUGCAUUUUUGUUUUCUCUAGAUAGUGUUAUACCAAAAAUUCAGUAGGAAAUUUAACUAAUAGAUUUAGAAAUUCGAACAUGAAAGCUUGUUUUGAUGGCUGUUGUUGACACAAGUGUGUGUGUAUGUUUUAAGGUGCAUCUCAAUCGCCCUUUAAGUCGUUAUAUGACAAGUUGCAAGACAUACUUUGCUGUUCUACAUUACCAAACAACUAUAAGAGGCUAGACGCGACGCUUGAGAAGAAAAUGAUGGAGAUCAAGAGGAACCCUUCGAGGAAUCACAGUUUCAAAUCAUUCGACACCAUAAUCAUGAAAUUCCCUCAGUUCAGGGAGGGGCUGAAAGAGAUCAGGGACAUAUUUGAGCAGUAUGGUGAGUUCUCAACUCCUAUUCACAUCAUAUUUCUAGCUCUUCUUCUUGAUGAUGAUGAUGAUGAUGAUGAGUCUUUUUCUUGCCUUGGCAUAGAUGAAGACUUCAACGGUACUAUUGACAAUCAAGAGCUCAAGAAAUGCUUGCACGCGUUUGAGUUUAGCAUCAGUGACGAGGAGAUUGGUGAUCUUGUCGGCUACUGUGAUAUAGAUGAAAAGGAAGGGAUACAAUUAAAGGAGUUUAUAGUUCUUGUAUUUCUCAUUUAUCUUCUCACGGAUGCUCCAGCUGCACCUAACACGGUAUAAGCAUACAUCCUUGUUUGCUUACACGGGCUCUGUUAUCUGGUGAUUAACUCACUGAUAUAUCUGAACUUGCUGCAGAAAUUGAAGAUGUGUUCGCCUCAGAUUGAAGCGACCUUCAACGCAAUAAUUGAAGUGUUUGUAUUUCUUGAUAAAAACGGUGUUGGGAAGCUGAAGAAGAAGGAUGUGGUGAAGGCACUAAACGAGGCUUCUCCAAAGGAGAAAUCGCCCUCACACAUCACACACAGCCGUUUUAGUUAUGUAACCUAACCUCCUUUAUCUUUUUGAAUAUUUAGUUUCCUCAAGUUGCAUAAGCAAGAGGUGUGUUUGGGUUAUAACAGUAGCAGCAUUGUUACUUAUGCAGAAGAGAUGGACUGGGAUAAGAAUGGAAAAGUUAGCUUCAAGGAAUUCCUCUUCUCGUUUAUGGGUUGGGUCGGGAUCGAUUGUGAUGAUGAAGAUCCUGAAGCGUAGUUAGAUGAAGCAGGGGAGCUGUCUGAAACGAGCGAGCGAGGUUAGAGCCAUGUAUAUUUGAUAACUUAUUCAAACUGUACAAUACAUAACUCGUUUAUACAAAUAUCUCAUCUGUAUGCUGUAUGUUCCUCUUCCUUGAUUAUAUCUUUCAUUGAUUUUGGAUUAGUUGUUGUAAAACACAUGAGUCUUAUAUUACGUCAAAUGUGAUUCACUCCACCAAUACAUUGUACAUGCUGUUUACACUUCUCUUUGAUGGAAAACAUGUAUUUUCACCAUUUUCAAUUCCCACUCUUUUUUACUUCAAUUCAUGAUAAAGGUAGUGUGUGAUGAUAUUUGUAUUUUAAGGAAAGGUUAUGGCCUGAAUUGUCAAUAUGCUCAUCAAGUUUUGCACAUUUCCAUGGCCUUGUUUAUAUAGGCUCCAUAUGAGUUGGGCCAAUUUCCAUUUUUUUUCUUUUUAUCAUUCUUCUUCUUAUUCUUCCUUUUUAUUGUUAGGAUUUACUUUUCUCAAGUAAAUAUCACACAUUGCCCAAAAUUGUCAUGUGCGUAUUGCAACCUUAUGUAUGAAAUGAAAAUAACCCACAUUCAUGUUGCACAAGUUACACGAGGGUUUCACAUUUAAUAUCAUACUAGUGCGCCUACGGGCCAAGACAUAUUUAUUUAUGUUUAACAAUUUUAAAUUAUACUCCAUCGGUCCUCUAAAUAACUUCCUAGUAAGGAACAUGGCCGGCCCUGACAUUCCGGGAGCCCUAGGUGAAAAGGAAAAAAAGGCCCCCUAAAAGAAGAAGCUUGGAGAAGUUGUAGUAAAUUUGAGAUGGCUGUAACAUUGACCAUAAAGUGCAAUAAACUAACAAUGAUAAAAUAAUUAUAAAAAUAACUUAGAUCUUCUAGCAUUUUGAGACGCAAAAUCAUCAAUAAUUUCUUCAAGAUCAAGCUUUUCUAAUACCUCAUGUUCAACGCAUAAAAUCGCUAAUCCAUUCAACCUUUCUUGAGAUACAGUAGAACGCAAAUAUGAUUUUAUCAAUUUUAAUUUUGAAGGGUUAAGUACCAAAUCCCCCCCCAACGUUGGGCCCCUAUCGCAAAUAGGACCUUAUACUCAGGGUAAGCGCUGUUUACUACCUCAACGUGGCUAAUUUUAAACAAAUCCCCCCCUGCGUUUUAACGGCCCCAAACGCCGUCUGUGAAUUUUUUUUUUUUUUAAUGCAGGUGGGCCCUCUUAAAUACUAUACGAUUCCUUCUCCGAUCGAAAUCCUCCCAUGGAUUCUCUCCCUCCGCAUCUCUCCACCACGCGCCGCCGCGGAUCCACUUCCCAAAUGUGUCUGCACAGGAUUCUAACCACAAUCGCCACCGUGCCCCCGCCGCCCUCGUUUAUGCCACCGAAAAUUGAAGAGACGGACGGCGGGGCGAACCCCAAUUCAGAGGGAGGUCGAGAAAUUGAGAAUCAAACCCCAAUUUUUGGAGAAAUCGAACCCCCAAUUGUGCGGCGGAGGCGGCGGAGGAGGAGAAUGGAUUGCUGUGGGUAGGCGACAGAGGCCGUCGAGGAAGGCGGCAGAUCUGUGAUGGUGGUGGGGAAAGGCGGUGGAGGCGGCGACUGGGGCUGGGCGAAGGCGAGGCGGCACAGACGCCGUGGCGAGAGAAGCGGUGCAGGCGUUCGAGGAGCGGAGGGCAGCAGCCUCUCCUUGACUGUGUUGCCGAGAUGUGAGGAGAAGAGAGAGAUCAGACACGCGAACGGGACGCGCGCCGAAGUUCAGACGCCGCCGGUCGCGAAAGAGGGCGAAAAUGCAGCGGCGCGGUCCUCCAUGGCCGCCAUCAACUGAUAUGUGCUGGAGAGAGAUAAGGGCUGAGCUGGUGGUGGCGGGGGAAGCGGCAGCGGAGGUUGGGGAUUUGCUGGAGAGAGAAAAUGGGGCCCACCUGCAUUAAAAUUAAAAAAAAAAAAUCACAGACGGCGUUUGGGGCCGUUAAAACGCAGGGGGGAUUUGUUUAAAAUUAGCCACGUUGAGGUAGUAAACAGCGCUUACCCUGAGUAUAGGGUCCUAUUUGCGAUAGGGGCCCCAACGUUGGGGUGGGAUUUGGUACUUAACCCUAUGGAAAAAAAUGUAAAGUAUAUUUCCUCAUCUUCAUCUUCUACAAGCUCCUUCAGCAAAAAUCUUAUUUCUAAUCAAAAUAUUAUAUGUAAUAUUUUUUUAUAUAGAUUCAAAUUUACAAAACCGGUUACCUUAUAUUUAUAGAUCCAAUCGAUUUUUUGCAUUUUUUGCAAUAAUCUCCGAUUUUGCUUUCUUUUAGGAACACCUCAUGACUCAUAAUACCAUGAUUCUUCAGGGUGAAAGUCAAUUAUUGUGCCUUUGGAGAUAUAGUUUCCACUCUAUAAAUUGAAAGAUAAUUAUUUUCUAAUUCUGAAAAUAUUUUAAAAUAUGUAUAGCAAAUUAAAAAUUACCUCAAAGUUUUUCAUUUCUUUAAUUGUUUUCACUAAAGCAGGUUUCAACCAUUCUUCACUUUUUACUUCUCGGCUAACGUUGGAAAUAUUAGCUAUGAUGUUAUUGUUGGAAUCUUCAGCAGAAAUCAACAAACAGAUUCUCACAAUUCUACGCAUAAUACAUAAUCAUACAUAGAUAUAGCGCUCCAACAACUAUCUCUUAAUCCUCAGUCACAACACUAAUAACCUAAAAAAAAGUUAAGGGGUGAAUAAAUACCUCUACGUAGAAAGAGAACAGAAACUUCAACUUGCCAACCGGUAGAGCAGCGGAGAAAGAAAGCAGAACCGGGAGGGGGAAAGCAGAACCGAUGAGAAUAGUUCACGUUAAAGAUAUAAAAAUAAUUAUACACCUUUUUAUAGAUGAAAUAUAAGAUAGUUAAUUUGACAAAGAAUUCUACCUUUGAUAGGAUUUAUCUAAGAAUUUGAGUUUAUCUAUAAUUUGUUAAUAAUUGUGAUGUUGAUCAAAUACAUGUUAAUAAUUAAAAUCAAGAGAAAAAGAUAAAGAUGAUAUGUUGAAGUAAAUAAAAUAAGAAAUGUGUUGAUUCCAUUUAGUCUUUCCUUGGAGCUCAAACGUGGAAAUUAGAUAUAUAUGAUUGGGAUAUAAUUAAUGCAUAAGAAAUUAGAUACAAAUUUGAUGAUUAAAAAUUUAGAAAAAAUAAGAAUGAAUGAGAAUUGAGAAAAAUUAGAAUAGAGUGAUUCUAUGACGCCACAUAGGAUAGAGCUUAUUUUGCUUUUAUAUAUAUUAUAUAUAGGGAGAAGAUCCAUGGAGAAUGAUAAAUAUUUUGAGAAUAGAGAAUGCGUUCGAAUAAGUCUGAAAUUUCGAUGAAUAAAUCAAUAUAUCGUAUGAAUAAGAUUUUUGGCCAUGGUUCGAAUCCUGAUAUGGGCGAGAUUUUCAUUAUUUUUACCAUAUUUACUGAAUACAUCUGUUCAUUAUUUAUGUUGAUCUAUUCGUAAAAUUUAUAGGCUUAUUCGUUAUUUUUCAUUCUCUCGAAAAAUAUAAUUCUCUAUGGAUCCCUACCCUAUAUAUAUA